GCAUCACGAGCUCACGGGCACAGUGAUGGCUGCCCUUCAUCCCAUGUGCUCAGCCCCGCGCCUCCGCGGGCAGCGGGAGGAAAGGGUUAAGGAGCUGCCAGCGGGGAUGAGGCGAGGGAAUUCAGCUGCUGACGCAGCACGUUGUUGACCUCAGCAUAUCAGAGCCCGGCGUUCAGAGUGGCCGCUGCUCCAAACGUGAGCCAGGCCUGACAAAAGCAGAAGGGCAGACCCAGAGCCCAGCUGGGCAGGUGUCCUCUUUCGAACUGACAAAGGGAAAGCUGUGCCAGUUCGUGAACCGCUGCUCCACGAGCAAGAUCCUACAGCCGUGCGAAGGAGAUUCGCUCGCGCCUUUCCGAGCACACGCGCGUUGUAUCCCCGCUGCCCGCCCCGUCCCGCUGCCGUCGGUGGGUACGGAGCGGUCCCGGUGCCGUAACGCAGCGCUCGGGGCGGCCCCGCGGCCUCCGCUCGUUUCUCCGUUCUCCCGAACCGAGGGGAAAUCGCACCAAAUCGCGCUCGCGUUUGGUGUUAUUGCGAGCAUUAGCGGUUUGUGCUCGGCUCGUCUCCUCUGGCAACAGGAGAAGCUUGAAAUGUCAAAGGGGAGGGUUAACAAACUCCGCCGGCAUAAAUUGCAAUGCGUGUUCCUUAGGAAAGCCGCUAAGUU
rnacentral:lncRNA from 7 species